GUGGGUUUCAGUGGUGACCACAGGGGCAGAAGGAGCAGGACUGGGCAGAGUUGCCAGCCUGAGGUGACAGGUUCUAGGUCCACAGCAGGCAGAGCAAGGCCAGUGUGACCAGUGGCUGCUACACCGAGAUGCACCUGUGCGGACUGACUUUGGCCUACCUGCUCUGCAAAUAAGAACCCUAAACAAAAAUAAUCUCUCCUCUACAAUCAAAAAUCCAGGCGCUCUUGACUUGUGGCGGCAUCUUAGAGAAAGGCAGGGCACACGGCGUCCCGUGGAGGAUGUAGAGUACUUGUGGCCCUGCGACCUAACCCACAGGACGCAGAACCGGCUGAUCUCGAGGAACAAACGUGAAGAUAACUGGUUGGCAGAAUACUGGCUUUUCGAACGUGUCCACCUCUAAUCCCCGGAAUCUGAGCGUAUGCAGUGUGACCAAAAUAUACAGUGCAUGUUUAAAUUUUUUAAAUAAUUUAUCAUAUUUUAUUAGCUAUUCAGGAUGGACAUGUGCGUUGUUUCCAUUUUUUACCACGUGCCAGUAUCUUUAUGAGGUGUGAUCAAAACUGCGGUGAGGGGCCGGGGAUUUAGCUCAGUGGUUUCGCCACCUGCUGCGCAAGUGCAAGGACCUGAGUUCGAUCUCUGGUACCAAAAAAAAAAAACUGUGGUGAAUGCUGCUGCCGAGCACCACCCAGUGGAAGGGCAGUGUCGUAAGGACAUCAGGCUGGGUCCUCGCCCACCUGGCACAUUCAGGCGUCCUCCUCCAUCUGGCACAGUGCAACGUCUAGCUCUCCCCCAAAGUCAAAAUGAGCACGAAAGGGAAACGUUUUGAGUUGAUUCAGGACACGGAGGCGGCCACAGCAGCACAACUAAAGACACUCAGGAAAGGACUCCAGAGCUGCUUCAGAGUGGCAAGAACGACAGGAUAAGUGUUUCUGAAGUGAGGGGAAAGAUUCUGAGAGGGACUCAUGGCAACUCUU
ensembl:lncRNA